CCCUACUGUCAGAGUAUCAAUUGGAGGGCAAGUCUGGUGCCAGCAGCCGCGGUAAUUCCAGCUCCAAUAGCGUAUAUUAAAGUUGUUGCAGUUAAGAAGCUCGUAGUUGAAUUUCUGCCUUGUCAUUAAUCUCGCUUCCGAGCGUUUUUUUAUUGACUUGGCAUCUUCUGGAUUUGAUGCCUUCGGGUACUAUUUUCCAGGAUUUACUUUGAGAAAACUAGAGUGUUUCAAACAGGCAUUCGCCUUGAAUACUACAGCAUGGAAUAAUGAAGUAGGACUUUGGUUCUAUUUUGUUGGUUAUUGAGCCAGAGUAAUGGUUAAUAGGAGCAGUUGGGGGCAUUCGUAUUUAACUGUCAGAGGUGAAAUUCUUAGAUUUGUUAAAGACGAACUACUGCGAAAGCAUUUGCCAAGGAUGUUUUCAUUAAUCAAGAACGAAAGUUAGGGGAUCGAAGACGAUCAGAUACCGUCGUAGUCCUA
rnacentral:rRNA from 1 species